CCGGCAAAUAAUGCCAGCGUUCUGGCAAGACGCUGUGCUCUGCCCGACAAGGUACUUUGGAAAAAGUACAAAGUUGGCGUUUUCUCUACAACAGACAGCUACAGCCUGGCCAGGGAGAGGGCAAGAAAGGGGCAAGACACCUCUCAGGUGGAAACGGAGGAGAUAAAUUCGAGGAGGAUAAACGUUCCUGCCAGAUGAGGAAGAAGUAAUAAAAAAAAAAAAAAAAGGAACAAUAAAACCUGGAGUGUUGCCAAGAAGGCCUGCGUUCCCUUCACCACCUAUCAUCACACCUGUCAGGGUCGAUGAUGAAGGCAUGGCUGGUGUAUCAGCUGCUGGAAUCUAACCACAUAAUAUUACUCCAUGUGAAUCCUCCACCAUCGGGGGAGAAACCUAUGAGGCCUUUCAAGGUAUUGAUUCCGGACGACCUGGUGGAGGACGAGGAGGAGGAGGAGGGGGAGGACGAAGUGGAGGAAUAGGAG
ensembl:lncRNA